GAUGAACGCUAGCUACAGGCUUAACACAUGCAAGUCGUGGGGCAGCGGAUACUUAGCUUGCUAAGUAUGCCGGCGACCGGCGCACGGGUGAGUAACGCGUACCGAACCUGCCCAUCACACAGGGAUAGGCUUGCGAAAGCAAGAUUAAUAUCUGAUGGUCUCAAUUUUAUGCAUGUAUGAUUGAGUAAGGCCUUCGGGCGGUGAUGGAUGGCGGUGCGUCCCAUUAGGAAGUUGGCGGGGUAACGGCCCACCAAUCCUUCGAUGGGUAGGGGUUCUGAGAGGAAGGUCCCCCACAUUGGAACUGAGAUACGGUCCAAACUCCUACGGGAGGCAGCAGUGAGGAAUAUUGGUCAAUGGGCGAGAGCCUGAACCAGCCAAGUAGCGUGCGGGAUGAAGGCCCUUGUGGUCGUAAACCGCUUUUAUCAGUGAAUAAAGUGCACCACGUGUGGUGUCAUUGCAGGUAGCUGAAGAAAAAGGACCGGCUAAUUCCGUGC
rnacentral:rRNA from 1 species